rnacentral:rRNA from 1 species
AGGGAGUAGAAAAGAACCUGAAACCGUGUACGUACAAGCAGUGGGAGCACCUUCGGGUGUGACUGCGUACCUUUUGUAUAAUGGGUCAGCGACUUAUAUUCUGUAGCAAGGUUAACCGUAUAGGGGAGCCGCAGGGAAACCGAGUCUUAACUGGGCGUUAAGUUGCAGGGUAUAGACCCGAAACCCGGUGAUCUAGCCAUGGGCAGGUUGAAGGUUGGGUAACACUAACUGGAGGACCGAACCGACUAAUGUUGAAAAAUUAGCGGAUGACUUGUGGCUGGGGGUGAAAGGCCAAUCAAACCGGGAGAUAGCUGGUUCUCCCCGAAAGCUAUUUAGGUAGCGCCUCGUGAAUUCAUCUUCGGGGGUAGAGCACUGUUUCGGCUAGGGGGUCAUCCCGACUUACCAACCCGAUGCAAACUACGAAUACCGAAGAAUGUUAUCACGGGAGACACACGGCGGGUGCUAACGUCCGUCGUGAAGAGGGAAACAACCCAGACCGCCAGCUAAGGUCCCAAAGUCAUGGUUAAGUGGGAAACGAUGUGGGAAGGCACAGACAGCCAGGAUGUUGGCUUAGAAGCAGCCAUCAUUUAAAGAAAGCGUAAUAGCUCACUGGUCGAGUCGGCCUGCGCGGAAGAUGUAACGGGGCUAAACCAUGCACCGAAGCUGCGGCAGCGACACUAUGUGUUGUUGGGUAGGGGAGCGUUCUGUAAGCCUGCGAAGGUGACCUGUGAGGGUUGCUGGAGGUAUCAGAAGUGCGAAUGCUGACAUAAGUAACGAUAAAGCGGGUGAAAAGCCCGCUCGCCGGAAGACCAAGGGUUCCUGUCCAACGUUAAUCGGGGCAGGGUGAGUCGACCCCUAAGGCGAGGCCGAAAGGCGUAGUCGAUGGGAAACAGGUUAAUAUUCCUGUACUUGGUGUUACUGCGAAGGGGGGACGGAGAAGGCUAUGUUAGCCGGGCGACGGUUGUCCCGGUUUAAGCAUGUAGGCUGAUUGUCCAGGCAAAUCCGGAUAAUCAAGGCUGAGGUGUGAUGACGAGGCACUACGGUGCUGAAGUAACAAAUGCCCUGCUUCCAGGAAAAGCCUCUAAGCAUCAGGUAACAUCAAAUCGUACCCCAAACCGACACAGGUGGUCAGGUAGAGAAUACCAAGGCGCUUGAGAGAACUCGGGUGAAGGAACUAGGCAAAAUGGUGCCGUAACUUCGGGAGAAGGCACGCUGGUGUGUAGGUGAAGCCCCUGCGGGUGGAGCUGAGACCAGUCGAAGAUACCAGCUGGCUGCAACUGUUUAUUAAAAACACAGCACUGUGCAAACACGAAAGUGGACGUAUACGGUGUGACGCCUGCCCGGUGCCGGAAGGUUAAUUGAUGGGGUUAUCCGUAAGGAGAAGCUCUUGAUCGAAGCCCCGGUAAACGGCGGCCGUAACUAUAACGGUCCUAAGGUAGCGAAAUUCCUUGUCGGGUAAGUUCCGACCUGCACGAAUGGCGUAAUGAUGGCCAGGCUGUCUCCACCCGAGACUCAGUGAAAUUGAACUCGCUGUGAAGAUGCAGUGUACCCGCGGCAAGACGGAA